ensembl:lncRNA
UUCCUCUGAAAAUCUCCUUGACGGGCUGAGAGACAGACUGAAUGGUGCUCAAGUGAACCCAAUCAGCGCUGUGGUAGGGAACGCAACUCUGAGGUGGGGUUAAACACACAAGUUAGAACUGGUUUGUCAAAGAGAAGAACUCGUGAGCUCAAGGAACCAAGAUCCAUGGGAACAGUGAGACUAAUCACAUCAGUUGUUAAGACGUUAAAUCAGUGCCUGUCAGGAGACCCAAUCUCACAACACUUCAACAAAAUGAGAUGAUGCCCACCAACACUGAUUAAGCUUGGUGCUUAUUGCAAGCAUGAUGGAUGCCAGCAUACAAAAGAGGUUCAAUCCAUGUUUGGCUGACUCCAAGGCAAGAACAUCAUGGCAGAAGGAAAUGGUGGAGCACAUCUCCUCAGUAAAUGGUGGCCCAGAAGCAACAAAACAGUGUCAGGUCAAGAAUGAGCCUCAGGAAACCCUGAGCCUUGCAUCUGCUGAGGAGGGCUGGCUUUGACGAAUGACUUUGGGUUACUCAGUCUUACAGAUCUCAUGGGGAAUGUUUAUUGUUGUUCAACGUGAAGAUCAAGAACUGGACUCCUCAUUUGGUAGCCACCAACAUCACCAUGAAGUUCCCACCUUUGUGACUUCAUCUUAUCUUCAGCACCUCCGAGAACCAUAUUUCUUCCCUUUGGUAUGAACUGCAUCAAGAAGAACCCAGAGAAAUUAUGAAUUGCUACUGCUGAGAUUAGGAUUGCAUCUUGUGCCCUGUCCCUCACUGGUUUCCUCUGUAGUGGUGAAGAUGACAUGUCCAAGACUACCAUCUCUCUACAGCAGUCAGGAAACACUGGAAGCCAACCAAAGUCAAAAUCAGGGG